rnacentral:rRNA from 1 species
GAUUAGAUACCCUGGUAGUCCACGCCGUAAACGAUGUCGACUUGGAGGUUGUGCCCUUGAGGCGUGGCUUCCGGAGCUAACGCGUUAAGUCGACCGCCUGGGGAGUACGGCCGCAAGGUUAAAACUCAAAUGAAUUGACGGGGGCCCGCACAAGCGGUGGAGCAUGUGGUUUAAUUCGAUGCAACGCGAAGAACCUUACCUACUCUUGACAUCCAGAGAACUUUCCAGAGAUGGAUUGGUGCCUUCGGGAACUCUGAGACAGGUGCUGCAUGGCUGUCGUCAGCUCGUGUUGUGAAAUGUUGGGUUAAGUCCCGCAACGAGCGCAACCCUUAUCCUUUGUUGCCAGCGGUUAGGCCGGGAACUCAAAGGAGACUGCCAGUGAUAAACUGGAGGAAGGUGGGGAUGACGUCAAGUCAUCAUGGCCCUUACGAGUAGGGCUACACACGUGCUACAAUGGCGCAUACAAAGAGAAGCGACCUCGCGAGAGCAAGCGGACCUCAUAAAGUGCGUCGUAGUCCGGAUUGGAGUCUGCAACUCGACUCCAUGAAGUCGGAAUCGCUAGUAAUCGUGGAUCAGAAUGCCACGGUGAAUACGUUCCCGGGCCUUGUACACACCGCCCGUCACACCAUGGGAGUGGGUUGCAAAAG